rnacentral:tRNA from 1 species
GCAGAUAGCUCAGUGGGUAGAGCAUGAGACUCUUCAUCUCAGGGCUGUGGGUUUGAGUCUCAUGUUGGGCA